GGGGAUGUAGCUCAAGUGGUAGAGCGCUCGCUCCGCAAGUGGGAGGUACGGGGAUCGAUACCCCGCGUCUCCA
rnacentral:tRNA from 1 species